AGUAAGCAAAGGAUUCCAAGUAGGACUUAAAAGACACUUAAUACACAGGAAAGACUGAUGGCUUUUACUACAUCAAAUUAGCACCUCUGGAGUUGGGCUUGGUGGUCCUGUAAUGUCAGCAAUUGGAAAGUGAGACAGGGGGACCAAGGUUCAAGGUCAUCUUCUGCUACUAGUUUGAAGUCAGCCUAGAAUACACAAGACUCUGUCUCAAAUAAACAAAAAUGUAGUGUCUCUGUGCCACAUAAUAUCAUGAGAAACCCAAAUGGCAAGCUGUUAACUAAGAGAAGAAAUUUGAAAUAUAUAUAACAUUUUUAGAUAUAUACGUGUAUAUAAUACAGUAUAUAAUAAGCAUAUAAAAUACAAAUUAUAUAUAUAUAUGUGUGUGUGUAUGUAUACAUAUAUAUGUAAUUGUCUUUCAACAAGUUAAGAUAGGUGAUCAAGUUUAAGAUUUUUCUUUUUUAAAUUUAUGUGUAUGUGUGUAUUUCUCUGUACUUCAUCUGUGUGUGGUUGGAAGAGGAUGUCACAUCUCCUGGAAACAUGUGGGAGUGAGCCAUCCAACAUGGGUGCUGGAAACUCAAGUUUGUUUCCAUAGGAAGGGCAGCAAGCUAUCUUAGCCACUAGCCAUCUCUCCAGCCCCAACAACUGAGUUUCGAAAUAGACAAAAUGCUUGACUAGGUAUAUCACCCAAGUUGAGAAUCUGAAGCCCAUGUCAAGACAUGCUCAACCUUAAAGUCACCAAGAAAAUACAAAUUAAAACCCUACAAGUUUUCUUGAACUUGAUAAUGGAUAAGAACAGCUAUAUUGAAAAAGACCACUGGACUGGAGAGAUGGCUCACCAGUUAAGUACACUGGUUGCUCUUGCAGAGGACCCCAGUUCAGUUCCUAGCCCCCACAUGGUGACUCACAGCCAUUUAACUCCAGCUCUAGGAGAUCUAACGCCCCCUCCUGGCCUCCAAGGGCACAGCAUGCACAUGGUGCACAUACAAGCAUGCAGGCAAAACACAUAAAAUAAAAAUAGAUCUUUAAAGAGACUGCCUGUACCAAGGGUUUGCAAGUUUGCGAAGUAGCUGGAACAUUCUACGCACAGCUACCUGCUGUCCAAAUGGGAACAGAUGAUUUGGAGUCCUGUCUAGGGGUUAGUGUUAAAAACCACAUGCAUGGUAGGUAUUGGUAGUUGUAGUUCAAACUUUAUGUCCAACAGAAAUGCAUACACAUGUUCCUCCAAAGACGUUUUCAGAUGCUGUGGAUGGUGUAUAGUAUAGGCUGUUAGUUCUGUUUCUAUGUGCCUUCUACAUAGACCAUCUCCCUUCUUAUCCCUGUCUGCCAUGGUUCUUUUUGUUCCUCAGGCUUUUGCUAAUGAUAUCCUUUUCAUACUUCCAGGCUGGGAAUUUCUUUUGCCUAUUAUGGGGUCAUCCUGGCCAGCGCUGAGUUGCUCGAGCGGGAUCUGGUCUGCGGUUCAAAGUCGGAGUCAGAACCGGAGGUGGUGGAGACCACAGGGGACUCAGGGGAGGGUCUGAGUCCCUGCUAUUGCCACAUAUUUGCACCCUCUGACUACAGGACCAUGAUCAUCAGCACCCUCGGGGAAAUCGCUUGUAAGAUUGCCCAUGUACCUGCCCUGUUUCAGGCAGGGUUCCUGCAGCUCAGGGACUAAGAGAAGUGUGACCUCCCUGGCCGGGCUCCCGCCUAGCAGAGCUCCUCAGGUCUUCAGAUCAUACUGCUACAUCCUGGGUUUGGAUUGUUGUGGGGAGGAGGGCCUAAAAGAGCAAAGCUUUGAAGUAUUCUACUUUAUCAAUUCCAGGAUACAUUUUUCGUCUAGAGUGGUGGCAUAUACCUUUAAUCCCAAUGCUCAGGAGGUAGAGGCCAGAAGACUUAUGUGAGUUCUAGGCCAGCCUGAUCUACAUAGUGAGUUCCAGGCUAGUCAGGGCUUUAUAAGUAGUGAGACCUGGUCUCAUACAAAAAAGUCCAGUUUUUGAGAUCAUAAUAUGAAUCCCUUUCCUUCUCAUGAACUCCACUCUCAAAUUCAUAGCCUCUGUUUUUGGUUUGGUUUGGUUUGUUUAUUUAUUUAUUUACAGCAAACUUUCUCUCCUCCCCUCUCCCCCCAGCUCUUACAAUCUUUCUGUCCCUCUUCCACAAUGUUCCCUGAACUUUACAUGCAGGAGUGUUUUGAAGAUGGGACUAGGCUCCACAACUCUGGAGUUUGAUUGGUUGUGGUUUUCAGCAGUUGCAGAGAAGUUUCCUUGAUGAGGGGUGAAGACUAUGCUUAUCUGUGGGUAUAAGAAUAAAUAUUUAUAGCGUCAUUAGCGAUUAUGCUGGCUCAGUGAAAUGGCGCUUGUAGGGUCUUCUCUCCAUGAAGAUCCAUGACUUCACCACCAUUCCUGGAGAGCUGGGGUCGGUUCCCAGUUCCAGGAGCGAUUUCCCUCCUGUUGAGUGGUCCUUACAUCCAAUGAGAUGACAGCUUCUGGUUAGUGCCAAGGUGUGCAUGCACUAUUGAGGUCAUCGCACCUGGCUGGUCAUUGUGGUGUUCAUAGGCAUCAUAGGACGGUUGGCUGCUUCCCUCCUUUGGAAGCUUGCGUGGUGCCUUCUGGUGCCACAAAACUAGUCCUCAGGAAGGAGGAUUUCAGGUCAGAUUCAGUUCAGGUUGUCUGGAAUCUGUGUCUGAAGUGCAUGGUGUCUUCAGCAAGAGGGACUUACCUUCCACCUCUGGGAAGCAGCCAAGAACAACAAUAUAUCCUAUAAUAUUUUGUAUGAUCCUACUUUUGUACAAUCUGAUCUGUUUUGUAUGAUUUGAUAGUUUUGUGGUGGUUGUUUUGUUUUGUUUUGUUUUGUUUGUAGGUUCCUACCCAACAACUCCAAAGAGAUCAUGCCUGGUCAUGGGUUUUGUUAGAUAGUCUUCGGCUCUUGAGGGAGUAUUGUCAGUUUAGAUGAAAAAUUCAUUUAAAUUACACAUGCAUAUGUAUUUGAUUGGUCGUGGUUUUCAGUAGUUGCAGAGAAGUUUCCUUGAUGAGGGGUGAAGACUUGCUUGAGUGCUUGCCUACCUACAUGUACAAAACCCCCAUGAACUAGGUGUAGUGGUGUGUGUCUGUAAUCCCAUUGCUUGGGGACUGGAUACAAUAGGACCAGAAAUUCAAGGUCAUCCUUGGCAGAGUUUGAUAUGAGACCCUGUCUCAAAAAAUUUUAGAACCUGGAGCCAAGUGUUGUGGCACAAGCCAACACAGUGAAAGCCCGUCUCAAAAACAGAAAAUCAGUGGAGACUUGAGUUCGAUGGACAACGGUUCAUGGCAUUUAGUUCAUGGCAUUUGUAAAUGGUAAUUUACAAAAGACGAUUAUGGUAGAGUAAGCAAAAAAGUAAAAUAAAAAAAGAAGUAAAAUAAAAUAAAGCUAGGUGUGGUGACAUAUACUUUUAGUCCAAGCGCUUGGGAGGCAGAGGUCGAUGAGUUUGAGGCCAACCUGGUUUAUAUGAUUUCUGGGACAGUCAUGACUAUACCUUGUAUG
rnacentral:lncRNA from 1 species